rnacentral:rRNA from 1 species
UGUAUUUAUAUUAACUAUAGGUAGUAAUUUUUAAUAAAACCUUUGUAUAAUGGUGGCAUUUCAUUUUAUUAGAGGAAUAUGUUUAAUAAUCGUCACCACACGAUCAUUUUCACUUUUAUUUACAUUUUAUAUACCGCCGUUUCGAAUAAAUUUAAAAGUUUUAUUCUAAAGAAAAUUCUAAAAAUUUAGGUAAAGGUGUAAACUAUAUAAAAGAUAAAAUGUAUUACAUUAAAUAAAAUUUAAGGACUAAAUUAAAUAUAAUUUAAAGAAAUAGGAUUUAAAAGUAUUGUUUAAUUAAUAUUAAAAUUUGAAUCAAAAAAUAAAUGUGCACAUAUCGCCCGUCACCCUUAUCUCAAGGUAAGGU